GAGCAGUGAUGUUACUUGCAUUAUUUGUGAACGAUGGGUCGUCACACUUCUGAUAUAUUCAGAAGAAAAAUUGUGCUUCUGAGCUU